CUGGCGCCCCCAGCUCGCGCCCCCGCCAGCCCCAUCAGACCGGAGGGCGUUCAAGUCAUCUCCAAAAGGGAGGCGGGGAGAAGGCCGCAAACAAAGCGGCGGUGGGACCCCCGGACCGGCGCUACUCUCCUGCGUUGGGCUUGACUGAAACACCUUAUUUGAAGACAGUUCUGCUCCAAAUGGCUGUUACGUUCUUCCCAAGACCAGUGGAAUAGCAGCCGAGGCAGUAGAAGCACAAGAGCGGGCAAGCCUGAUCCAUGCCUUUUAAGAUGCUGCGUCCAUCACAUCUGUCACUAUGCUGUCAGCCAAGGCACAGCACAUGCUAAAGCUGAGUUGCUCGUGUCCUGUGAGUGCCAAGUCAGUUCAGUCCUAUUCAACUCUUUGUGAGCCCAUGGACUGUAGCCCUCCAGACUCCUCUGUCCAUGGGACUCUCCAGGCAAGAACACUGGGACUGGGUUGCCAUGCCCUCCUCCAGGGGUCUUCCUGACCCAGGGAUCGAACCUGCAUCUCCUGCGGCUCCUGCAUCAGGCAGAUUCUUCACCGCUGAGCCACUGGGGGCAGAACUUCAUAAAUUCAAGCCCGCUGUUUGUUCAUCCCUGUGCCUCUCUCUGCUCCCCUCAUCCAAUUUGUGCUCCCAUAAAACGCAAUGUUCACAUCUCACUUCUCAGCAAAAAUAUGAGAUGUGUUGAGUGAAUUCACAUUAAUAAUAUUUUAGCUAACAACACUUCGAAGAGCUCUACAGACCAUUU